UACGGGGGGGGCAAGCGUUGUUCGGAAUUACUGGGCGUAAAGGGCUCGUAGGCGGCCAACUAAGUCAAACGUGAAAUCCCUCGGCUUAACCGGGGAACUGCGCUUGAUACUGGAUGGCUUGAGAUUGGGAGAGGGAUGCGGAAUUCCAGGUGUAGCGGUGAAAUGCGUAGAUAUCUGGAGGAACACCCGUGGCGAAGGCGGCUCUCUGGUCCGAUACUGACGCUGAGGCGCGAAAGCUAGGGUAGCAAACAGG
rnacentral:rRNA from 1 species